rnacentral:misc_RNA from 1 species
GAUGAAGAACGUAGCGAAAUGCGAUAAGUAAUGUGAAUUGCAGAAUUCAGUGAAUCAUCGAAUCCUUGAACGCACAUUGCGCCCCUUGGUAUCCCGAGGGGCAUGCCUGUUCGAGCGUCAUUUCACCACUCAAGCCUGGCUUGGUGUUGGGCGACGUCCUCUUUGGGGACGCGCCUCGAAACGCUCGGCGGCGUGGCACCGGCUUUAAGCGUAGCAGAAUCUUUCGCUUUGGAAGUCGGGGCCCCGUCUGCCGGAAGACCUGCUCGCAAGGUUGACCUCGGAUCAGGCAGGGAUACCCGCUGAACUUAAGCAUAUCAAUAAGCGGAGGA